rnacentral:misc_RNA from 1 species
UGAGGUGACACUGAUGUUCUAUGUUCUGUUUACUUUUAUAUUUUAUUGAUAAAAGUAAACAAAAUAUAGAACAUCAUCCGUAUAUGAAUUGUACCAGUGUUGUGACUAACUAAAUCUUACUAUGUUGUACAUGAAUAUUAUUAUUAUACAUUCUGAAUUUUAUUGCAAGCUCAAAGAAUUAGCUACCCCAUUAGACUUUGAUAAAGCUUUAAGAACCUCCAUACAACCAGUUCACAGAACUCGGUAACAGAUCGUUGAGUACCAAACCUUGAGACAAUUAAUCUCAACACUCCAUAAUAAAGCAGAACUCCAAGUUUAUCAAAGUAGCGGGACCUUCAACUUUUGUGCAAGAGCUUCCAAAUUAAUUAGUUCCGAGGCCCAUGACAAAGUUUAAAAGCUGAUCGGGACAAGAUGUUAGGAAGUUUUGUGGGAGUUGUAUGUUUGCUGAUCGGAUUGGAUCAGAACGAGCUUGUACCAUUCAAAAUACGCAAACAUGUCCGAUUUCAAGUCCCAAUCAAGCCGCGACGGUUACAAGGAUG